UACGUAGGGGGCAAGCGUUUGUCCGGAUUUAUUGGGCGUAAAGAGCGUGUAGGCGGCCAUACAGGUCAGCUGUGAAAACUCGAGGCUCAACCUCGAGACGUCGGUUGAAACCGUAUGGCUAGAGUCCGGAAGAGGAGAGUGGAAUUCCCGGUGAUAGCGGUGAAAUGCGCAGAUAUCAGGAGGAACACCGGUGGUGUAAACGGCUUUCUGGACCGUAAAC
rnacentral:rRNA from 1 species